AGCCAAGCAGGCUAUGGCUGCGCUAAGUCUCCACAAUUUGUGGAGUCAUUUCCACCAGCCUGUAUUGUGUUCCUGGUUUCCACUGAUUUAUCCCUCUGUUGGCCCUUCCAGCAAUUGCCCCAGGACCUAGGAAUCAGCAGGACCAGACUGGGCAGGAUGCAGAACAAAGCAAAAACAUGAAAGGUCAAGCCUAUGUUUGGCCUUAAAAGUAUGCAAUGCUAUUAUGCUGUAAGAAAUG
rnacentral:lncRNA from 1 species